rnacentral:rRNA from 1 species
GACGAACGCUGGCGGCGUGCUUAACACAUGCCAGUCGAACGGAAAGGCCCUGCUUUUGUGGGGUGCUCGAGUGGCGAACGGGUGAGUAACACGUGAGUAACCUGCCCUUGACUUUGGGAUAACUUCAGGAAACUGGGGCUAAUACCGGAUAGGAGCUCCUGCUGCAUGGUGGGGGUUGGAUAGUUUCGGCGGUUGGGGAUGGACUCGCGGCUUAUCAGCUUGUUGGUGGGGUAGUGGCUUACCAAGGCUUUGACGGGUAGCCGGCCUGAGAGGGUGACCGGCCACAUUGGGACUGAGAUACGGCCCAGACUCCUACGGGAGGCAGCAGUGGGGAAUAUUGCACAAUGGGCGGAAGCCUGAUGCAGCAACGCCGCGUGCGGGAUGACGGCCUUCGGGUUGUAAACCGCUUUCGCCUGUGACGAAGCGUGAGUGACGGUAAUGGGUAAAGAAGCACCGGCUAACUACGUG